CUUCAACGGAGAGUUUGAUCCUGGCUCAGGAUGAACGCUGGCGGCGUGCUUAACACAUGCAAGUCGAACGAUGAUCCGGUGCUUGCACCGGGGAUUAGUGG
rnacentral:rRNA from 1 species